CAGUCAUGCCUGCCAGGGAUCAGUUAGCAUCCUAGCAUGCUUGUGGGAUUAUCUUGAUGGGAUUGAGGCUAACAGCCAUGCUGCUGCUGAUCCACCCUGCCAGGUCCCAGCCUGGCAGAAGUCAUUGUGCAGCAAGGAGAGACUAAGACAGCAGUGGGAUCUCAAGGAUCUGAGCUGAGUCUGAUGUCCUCGCUGUACAGAAUUCUGUUUUCCAGACAUUUUUGCAUGCUGGAUGUGGGACAUUGAGCAUUAGUUUCCUGAGGAGACUCCUUCCUUGUGACCUGGUCCAGCAAACCACUUAAAACCCCAUCACGCUGACGGCCAUGCUCAGAAAUAGAAAAGUGAUUCUUUUAUGGCAUUUACUGCUCAGACCUAUCCACUCAGCCGAGUAAACAAGACCCCACAAGGAGCCGGUUUUGAUUCUCGGGGUGCCCUGUCACGUCUGAAUUAUGUCACACACAGCAGGACUCUGGGCAGGUGAUAUGAGGGUUGUGUUCAUGACUGUGUAGCUCUGCUCCGGCCCUGGGGGAAGACCCGUCAGCAUCCUUUACUCCCGGAGGUGGAGGAUCUGCGGUCAAUGCAGAGCAGCCCUGGAAGGGACAGAGCUCUCUUGCCUGAUGUUGACUCUCCACCCAGAGUGCCAGCAUUUAUUUGCUUUUCCAGAGUGUUGUGGGAACGAAAGGCUAAUCAAAAGCCAUGGUGCCUGAAAACCUUAAAGGACCAAA
rnacentral:lncRNA from 1 species